GUGGAGGAGAUUGCGGGCGGAUCCGGCGUUGAGAACGGACGCCGAGGAUCGUGCAAGGGAGGCUGAGGUCUGGAAGGUGAUUGCGGGAUGAUCACGGCAGAUUGCUCGCGGUCUGAUGCUGGUCCGGCGCGUGAGGCAGGCUCGUGGAAGAAGAGGAGGCAGAUGGCUGGGAGAUUCAAAUGGAUGAGAGCUGCGGCAGGAUCUUCGGAUGCUGGGAUCCGGAUGACUAGAUCGAACGCAUGAGAUGGGGCGUGGACGAGUGCUGGGAUGAGCGGACGAACGGGAUGAAUGGGGCUGGGAGGUAAUCGCGGCUGGAUCCGGGCUGAGAACGGACGCGAUGGAGGAGGCGGGCGGACGAGGAGGGCGUUGGUCGCGGGAUC
rnacentral:lncRNA from 1 species